CCGCCCCUCGACACCCCACCCUGGGUGCCAGAGAGCCUUCCUUCGCCCCUGCAUUCACAUACCUGUAGUUUAUUUAUUUUGUUUUAUUUUGUGUCUGUAUUUGUUCAAGAGUGAUUUAUUCCUAUAUAUGGAUUAUGUAUAUUAUCAUCACACCCUGUUUGUUCUAUUAUUAUUAUUAUUAUUAUUAUUAUUAUUAUUAUUAUUAGAGUCCUGUCUUGCUAUUAACACAGUGUAAGAGAGUAGCGUCUCUCGCACUGGGUAAGCACUCACUCUCACAUGCAUGCAAGUUCUCUUUGGGUGAAGGCCAUUGGCACUGCUGGCCACGCACUGAAGAACACUUUUUCCUUGCAGGAUCACAGAGCACAUGCAUGGAGAACAAACAGCCACUGUGCACCCAGAGUUCCACUACAGCCCUUACAGGGAAAGAGCCAACUAUUCAACAGCUAUGAGACCUACCCCAUGCCCAGUUCCUUGCAGAUCAUGAGGAAGGCCCACAACCAUGAGCCCUGGAGGUUUGCCAGCCUAUUUGCUCCACACAGGUUCCUCCUUGCUCCUGACCGGCAAAAGACUCUUUCUUUGACACAGUACAUCUUCAACACUUGUCCCAAGGAGUCCUGUGUGUCCUCUCUGUAG
rnacentral:lncRNA from 1 species